CCCUAGUAACUGCGAGUGAAGCGGGAAAAGCUCAAAUUUAAAAUCUGGCAGUCUUUGGCUGUCCGAGUUGUAAUCUAGAGAAGUGUUAUCCGCGCUGGACCGUGUACAAGUCUCCUGGAAUGGAGCGUCAUAGAGGGUGAGAAUCCCGUCUUUGACACGGACUACCAGGGCUUUGUGAUGCGCUCUCAAAGAGUCGAGUUGUUUGGGAAUGCAGCUCAAAAUGGGUGGUAAAUUCCAUCUAAAGCUAAAUAUUGGCGAGAGACCGAUAGCGAACAAGUACCGUGAGGGAAAGAUGAAAAGAACUUUGGAAAGAGAGUUAAACAGUACGUGAAAUUGCUGAAAGGGAAACGCUUGAAGUCAGUCGCGUUGUCCAGGGAUCAACCUUGCUUUUGCUUGGUGCACUUCCUGGUUGACGGGUCAGCAUCAAUUUUGACUAUUGGAAAAAGAUUAAGGGAAUGUGGCAUCUUUGGAUGUGUUAUAGCCCUUGGUUGCAUACAAUGGUUGGGAUUGAGGAACUCAGCACGCCGCAAGGCCGGGUUUUUAACCACGUACGUGCUUAGGAUGCUGGCAUAAUGGCUUUAAUCGACCCGUCUUGAAACACGGACCAAGGAGUCUAACAUGCCUGCGAGUGUUUGGGUGGAAAACCCGAGCGCGCAAUGAAAGUGAAAGUUGAGAUCCCUGUCGUGGGGAGCAUCGACGCCCGGACCAGACCUUUUGUGACGGUUCCGCGGUAGAGCAUGUAUGUUGGGACCCGAAAGAUGGUGAACUAUGCCUGAAUAGGGUGAAGCCAGAGGAAACUCUGGUGGAGGCUCGUAGCGAUUCUGACGUGCA
rnacentral:rRNA from 1 species